UUCUGAUGUAAACCUGUGAUGGUCUCCUCAGCUGCCUCAAACACUGUCACAUCCUACUGUGGAUUCAAGCUGUCAGGAUGUUUACACGGCCACCUCAAAUUCCAUUCCGCUCUCUACAAAAACUUAUUUUUAGACGUGCACUGUCCCUUCUUAUACAUUCCUCAGUACUGGAUCCUGGACAAAUCUUUAGUCAACCUUAAAGUUUAGUUCAAAAGGCUCAUUUUCUCAUAGAGUUUGAGGCCAUUUUUGUGAGUGGAGGAACUUGAGGUUUUAGGAAUUUUAUUUAAAUCAUGGAGAUAUUUUCGACUCGAAUGGCUCUUAACUUUGAUCUUGGGUCUAGGCUGCCUGGUUGAAACUACUACUGGUUUUCUUUCUUUUUUUUUUUUUGAGAUGGAGUUUCGCUGUGUUGCCCAAGCUGGAGUGCGAUGGCGCAAUCUCGGCUCACUGCAACCUCCGCCUCCUGGGUUCAAGCAAUUCUCUUGCCUCGGCCUCCCAAGUAGCUGGGUUUACAGGCAUGUGCCACUAUGCCUGGCUAAUUCUUUUUGUGUUUAGUAGAGUUGGGUUUUCGCCAUGUUGGUCAGGCUGGUCUAGAACUCCCGACCUCAGGUGAUCCACCCACCUCUGCCUCCCAGUGCUGGGAUUACAGGCGUGAGCCACUGUGCCCAGCGAACCUACUGGUUGGUUUUCAAGAGUUGCAUCACUUUAACUGGAACAUAUCGGAAGAGUGGGACCAGAUUUUAAGAGACCCAGACACAUGCAAAUGGCCUUCUGAGUUCAUUCUUGAUGGAGAGGAGCUGGAAGAAUCCACUAAGGACAAAUUGCCCUGUGGAUUUAGUAAGAGAUCUGUAUAUAGUGGAGCCCCCUGAGGCUGGCUUGUUAAAGUAGUAUCUUCUGCUUCCCUGACAGCAAAUUCGUGUGCACUGUUUACUGGGAAAUAAUUAUGGUUUUCGGCACUGGCAAAUGGAGUCCUAUUUCUAAUGGGAGACAGUGGUUGGCAAACAUGAAACCCUGAGUUUCCCUCUGAGUCUGAGCUGUGAACUGAAGUCGAUGACAUUGACAAGUCUACUGGAAUAUCAUCUCUCAGAGCAGAAUGCAUGAAUGAUGCAGGAGGGUUAUAGGAUGAAUUCACUGAUGAUCUUGGAGAUAUUGGUCUGCCAGAAAUAAAGUAGUCAAGAGAAUUUUGAGAACUGUUUAAAUAGUCUUUCCAGUAUCCUUCAGAAUCAUGGGUGCCAGGCCUAUGUUCCACAGAAAUACAAUCACUCCAUACAUUUUCAGCAUUGACACCAACCUCUUGUCUGGGCUCGGAUUUGGUGUCCCACGAAAGAGGGCUCUUUUUCGCAUUUUCACUGCCACCUCUGUCCUUCUCUGUAGCAGAUUCCCUAUCAGGCAGCCCGGGGUCUUGGGACAACCUUUGCCCAGCAGAAGGCCGCUCUGUUGCUGGCUCCAUUGCAUUGCUUAUUCUCAAUGAGCCAUGACUGGGCUCACUUCUUCUUGAAGAAUGACCUCUGCAAUUUUCAGCAUUUUCUUCAAAAUUUUUAUUUUUGGCCUGAGGGGUCGAUGUCCCCCCAAAUCUACUUCUUUUGUGAUGGGAAGGAGAACAGGGUGAGCGCACACCAACCCACAGACAUUCUUCAGACUGGGUUUCCUCUUCAGUGUCAUCGCUUUCUCUUCUGCUGUUCAAUGACAAAAUGGAAUAAAAGUCUUCAUCUCGGAACCUAAAUGAUGCCUUUCUUGGCCCUCCUACAGUGGUGGGUGUGAGUGGUGGCCCCGAGAACUCACUCAAUACUUGAGGACUAUUUUUUCCUUGGAAGGCCUGGGACAGGGCUGGAUGCAGCUCACUCUGGGAAGGAGCACUCGGGUCUCCUUUUUUGGCUCUAUCAGGGGCGUUCUCAGUCAUUGGCUGUGACGAUGGGACCAAGUUUCUUCUCUCUUGAUUUGGCCUCUUCAGCUUAGUGUUACACAUCAGGCCUUCUUGUUGAACUACUUGAUCUGCAUUGAGAAAAGACACAUUUAUCGUUCCAGUAAAAGGGCCCAUGGAUGAAAGGCCUCUAGCACCAAGUGCAAAAUUGCCCUUUAAAUGCAACAGACAAGACCUAGAGAAGAAAACAGACACGGUCAAAAUGGCUGGAGGUACAAGAGGAGCAGAGCCCAGCAGGCUUCAUUUUACUGCCCCGUAUUCUCCUUUGUACCCCUGUGGUCCUAGGGAAAUGGGGGGACCCUGAGGAUACAGAUUCUUUCUGCAGAAGCUCCCGGAAGACUGGCCCAGCCCCAGCCAGUCAGGACUGAUGAUGCGCAAACCUCACACUAAAUACUGGCUUUUGUUCCAUACGUACUGAAAGGGAAAACCACCACUCUGGGAAUGACUUCUACAAAAACCACCAGCCCUUUCUCAUCCACGUUCAUUCAAUGUACAUUUAUGACACCCUGCCUCCCACGCAGCUUUACAAGAACUUAAGAGAAGUAUAACAUGUCUUGGCAGAUCAGGAGGAAGGCUAUAGGAGCUGGCGCCCGGGGAACACUGGGGAUUUUGGUCAUGUUUACUAUUUAGUGAAAAUAAAAAUUAUAAAUCGCUCAUGAAAUCGUUAUCUUCUCUUUGUCACUAGCCCCAGGUCAAUUCUGUAACUUCUGGCUGCCCUAGAAUCCCUACUAUGAAUUCCUACACAGAAUCACUGAACUGGCCAGAAGCAUGCUAACUGUCUCUCUCUGUCUCUCUCUGUCACACACACACACACACACACACACACACACACACACACAACUUAAGCCUCACAACCCUGUGAAAUAGGUAACACAAUCAUACGACAUUAUAACUUGAGAGUACCAAGGCUUAGGGCAGUCACAUAACUAGCCCAAGAUCCUAUUUCCAGUAAGUGAUGGAAUGAACAUUUGAACCCACGCCUGCUCGAUACUAGGGUUUGUGUUCUUAACCACCACCCUGUGUUAGCCCUUAAGAAACUGGCUGGCCUUCCGAUUUCCUUGUGAAAAUGAGAAUCCAUUGAAUUCAUCGUGGUGUGUGUGUGCUGUUGAGGGUCUUUUACCCUCUUGAUGUGAGAAGGAAACUGACAGUACUUCUCUGAUGCCACUUACCUUUAUUCCCUCCUGACAUCGGCCUCCCCCCGCUUUGUUCUCCUCUCUGCUAUUGUGUGGGAUCUGAUGAGAUGCUGCUCUUUUUAUCAUUCCAUUUCUAAAGCGGUUCACCCUGUAGAGUGGACGGGACUCCACGGGCCCUGGAAGGUCUGUGUUGAUAACAGCUCGGGCUGGUGAAAUGCAAAUCCUCAGAGCAUCGGGCACCACCAAGGGCCAAGUCAAUUCUGGCUCACUUUAAUUGGGGCUCCUCACAGGGGGACACCAGUGUGAGUCUCUAAUGUCCUAACACUCGGGCAGCUUCUUUUAUUGUUAACUGCAUGGGACACUCAGCAACGCAGUAUGAAUCUUGACUCAUCAGCUCUUCUAGAAAUCAGUUAAGCUCUCCUCUCAGGCCCCUCCUGGGUUUUAUAAACCCCAGUUAGAGAUGCAGCAGCAAUUCAAGGAUGCUUUGAGCAUCUGGCUGUGGAACUACAGCGCUGGAGCUGGUGGCGAGGCCACUCCAGACUGGGCCGACCCCCAUUUUGGGAACAAAUGCUUCUACGUAAGCAACUGAAUUCUCCUGAAAAUUUUUUAAAAUAGAAAAGGGGGCUGGGGGCUGUGGCUCACGCCUGUAAUCCCAGCACUUUGAAAGGCCGAGGUGGGCAGAUCACUUAAGGUCAGGAGUUCAAGACCAGCCUAGACAACAUGGUGAAACCCCAUCUCUACUAAAAAUACAAAAAUUAGCCGGGUGCUGUGGUGUGUACCUGUAAUCCCAGCUAUUUGGGAGACUGAGGCAGGAGAAUCGCUUGAACCCAGGAGGCAGAGGUUGCAGUGAGCCCAGAUAGUACCACUGCACUCCAGCCUGGGCAACAGAGUGAGACUCUGUCUUAAAAAU
rnacentral:lncRNA from 10 species